rnacentral:rRNA from 1 species
AAGGCAGGUUCGAUGACUGGGGUGAAGUCGUAACAAGGUAGCCGUAUCGGAAGGUGCGGCUGGAUCACCUCCUUUCUAAGGAA